GAAGAAGAAAUUGUCCCAUUGGUGUGAAGCAAGAGGAUUGGGACAUUUUCAUUAAUCUACAAUCCAUAGAAUUAUUAAUCAAUCUUCGUAAGAAGGGAAAGACUUCCAGAGCACAUGUGAAAUGCCCACACACGACUGGAAGACGAGGUGCUGCUAGGACAUUAGAGAAAAUGCAAAAAGAAAAUCCAAAUACUAUCAUCACCAGGACCGACUUGUUUGUUGCCACUCAUAGCAGAUCUGAUGGGUCUUACCCAACACAAACACAUCUUGAAAUAGCAGAAAGAAUAUUAUCGAUAGCUGGUAGUGAUCCUUCCAAUAAGCAUAAGGAUUUAGACCACGACCCAGUUUCAUAGGUUUGUGGUCGUGAUAGCAGAGGCCGGGUUAGGGGCAUGGAUUUGGGUAUUUCUAAGACUAUUAUGAAGGUUGCCACCCCCUACAUCAUAGAAGCUCGGUCGGAGAGGAAUGCAC